UGAAGACAUUGGCCAAAUACAAGUCCUGAGUAGGCAAAUGCAGUUCUGCUAAAUGUCUCUCACAUUAUUUGAGUGGAGUGGAUGUUGUGAAACUUUUGUGGAAGAAUGAGCAGCUCUGCUGGACAUUAACAUAUAAAAAUAUGUGACACACAUUUGGUGGUGGGUGGAGAGGGAAAGGAAGUAAGCAAGAAGUACCAGGCAGAGAGUGAAAGAGAAAGCAGGCCUCUUUUGUAUGUAUUUUGAAGUCAUGGGAUACUUGAGCCUCUUGGGGACCAUAUUUAUGCACCUGAUGCAAUCAGCCACUCCUACUGCUGUCUUCAAGUCUGAGAGUUACACCCAUCUACAUCAGGGGAUGGGAAUGUUCCUCAAAGAAUGCUUGACUCUUUGGGGUUUUGACCUUUAAGCUACUUCGUUAUUUGUUUUCUGACCUAUCCCAUAGCUGUGAUUUAAUUCUAACUGCUGUUCAACUUGGCUUGUAGUCUACAGAACCACAGAGACAAAGCAGAGGUAACUGUGAAACUAAUUAUUUAAGGAAGCAACUCUUUUAGUUACAAAAUCAAGCUGAUUUUGCUCCAAAUCUUAAUUCUGAGCUUCCCAUGUUAUUUCUAACUGAUAAAAUAGCACAGGCAAGCUUUUGGGCAUACAAGCUCUCUUUCAGAAAUGAAGCAGAAAGAGUAAACUUCAAGUUAAGGGCAUAAUUUAUUGCAUGCUUCUCGAGAGUCUGUGCCCCAUGCCAUGAACACUCGUGCUUCAGGCCAGUCUGCUGACUCCUGUGUUAUGCUGACAGAUCAUGAAAACAGUACAGACAGCCUGGCAGAACAAUGAAGAGCUGUAUAAGAAUAAAAUUAUCUAUUUUUAUGACAAUUACUACCCUGAAGUUCAGAAAAUUUGGAGGCACGUUGGAGCUGAGCAAAACCAGCUUAGGAAAAGGGUUCUGCUUUAGGCAUUAUGUACAUGCACGAAAAAGAACAUCUCAAAAGAAGUAUUCUCAUCUCCUUUCCAAACCCGAAAACACCACAUAUCCUGGGACACGUCAGGUGGAAAAGUAAAGAAAGAAGUGGGAACGAGCCACCUCAGCUGAGAGUAGCAGUCCAACAAAGAAGUGCUGGAUGAGUCUGGCAUCGUAUGCUUCUCUAUGAAAUAUGGCAAACCGGGAAUAAACUGGGAUCCCCCAGAAAGAAAAAGCUGGAAAAGUGUUUUCAAGCUGCUGUGCGGCAGGGAUUUUUUGUGGAGGGGGCUCUCCAGCAAGAGGCCGAUGGUGAGAAGUUCAUGGAAAAACUGUAGCCUCAAAACACUGCAUG